rnacentral:rRNA from 1 species
UGGGGAAUCAUGGUCAAUGGGCGAAAGCCUGAACCUGCGACGCCGCGUGAGUGAUGAAGGUCGUAAGAUCGUAAAACUCUUUUCAGGGAUCUUAACGCACAGCUGUCAACAACAGCUGUGUCUGACUCUCCCUGGAAGAAGCCCCAGCCAACUACGUGCCAGCAGCUGCGGUAAUACGUAGGGGGCGAGCGUUAUUCGGAAUUACUGGGUGUAAAGGGUAUGUAGGCGGCCCUUCAAGUCGCGUGUCAAAGUCCAGUGCUCAACGCUGGGUGUGCGCGCGAUACUGACGGGCUUGAGGGCUGGAGAGGUGAGCGGAAUUCCCGGUGUAGUGGUAAAAUACGUAGAGAUCGGGAGGAACACCAGCGGCGCAGGCGGCUCACUAGACAGUUUCUGACGCUAAGAUACGAAAGCGUGGGGAGCAAACAG